UCAAUGGUUAUGCCACAGAGAGUUUCUGUGUCCCUACGGAAAACCACGACAUCGUAAGAACACUUCUAGAGAACGACUAUGAACCUUGGCUCUUGCAAACACGUUUCCAUCCGUCGCAUCCGACUCCAACUUCUUUCACUUUCGAUGACGUCGCUCGGUUCGACAUUCCAGCCGGUAUGUGCACUCUGUCAAAAACCGAAAAAGUUUAAUGCUGGAAAUUUUUACAGCAUUUGCAAAGAUGAGCCACGUCAAGAGAAAGUCGGUAACAGCACACGUUAUUGCUCAUUGCAUAGGAGGAGUCUCAAUUCACAUGAGCUUGAUGGGUGGAUACAUACCUCCAUCGUCGAUAGCAUCACUGAUUUGCACAAACUCGUCCAUGUUCUUCAACUUCGUUCCAUCAGCGCUCGUCAAGUUGACUCUGCCUCUCAUUCCUGUAAGUAGUUUUUGCGUUAGCCAUAAAAAAAAGGAGACUUACGUCUUGUUGUUUAUCUACUACAGAUUUCUAUGACAAUCCUGGGAAAGAAGCUCGUCAUACCAAUAAGUCCUCCGCAAGAAGAACCGAUGUCGUGGCGACACAAGCUACUCCGCGCAAUUGCUCGAGCGAUACCACGCACGGAGCGCUGCCACUGUGACGAAUGCAACGUUUUCUCAGGAAUUUUCGGCAACACAUUCUGGCACGAGAAAGUCAGACUGGAAACGCACAACUGGUUGACCAAGCAGGCAGUGCAAACUCUAUCAAUGGCAGCAUUGCCACACGCACGUAAAAUCGUUCUCGCGGGACACGUAGUAGACAACGAGGGGAAAAACGAGACUUACAUGGCUCAUCCGGAGAGGCUAGCAGUCCACACCACGUAUAUCUCCGGCGGCCGCCCCAUUCUCGUCACUCCAGAGACCUCUCUCCGCGCGCACGGAUUCAUGAAGCGGCAUCACCCUGGAUUCAGCCACGCUCGAAUCGUGAUUCAAGACUACGGACACUCCGACCUGUGGAUCGGAGAGCAUUCGCACGGGGACGUGUUCCCGCUGGUGCUGGAGCGCCUCAAAUCCGCCGGGAGAAGCCAUCCGAGCGAUAACCUCCAGAAGAAUGCGAUACUGCCGUGGGAGGAGUCGCUGAUCGCUGGUAGGAAUGGCGCGUGCGGCGGCGUUGUCUUCAUCCUGAUGGCGCUGCUCGCGAUCGCCUUGCUCUGCUUGGUAAACCAUUGAAUCUGCCAGUACAAUGGUGAUCACAACUUGUGAUUUGAUGCAAACAAAUCAGGGAGAAUGCACUGCUCCCGUGACAGCAAGCCCCAUCAUCUGAAACUAUUACAUUGUUAGCUAAGAAAGAGCAUCCUUUAAACCCUUUUGUGUGCUUCCAAUUCCAUGCUAUUUGGGAACUUAUGACCACUAUAUGGCUGCAUCAAGUGGUGGUGCUUGUCAAACCAAUCCAAUGUUUCCAUACCUCAAUUAGAACAAGAGAGAGCAUGUUAGACUUAUCAUUAGCUGCACUUGCCAGUUAGUGCUGGAGUUUGUCGCCACUGGAGUAUAGUGAGUUUUUCUAGCUCAUUUUUUUGACUCGGAUGAUAGCAAUCCAUGUUGACUAGUAGUUUACCAAUUAAGAAUUUUUAUUUUACUAUUGUUGUUGAGGAGUUUUUUUUUUUCCUUCAUGAAUGAACAGUCUUAAAAGUCCACUUAUCUUCCCAUAGUUUAGUAUCAACAAGGUUUAACCAAUCUCUUAAAUUUUUGCCAAAGUAUUUUAUAAGCCUUAGGAUUUUUGUAUUUUUUUAUAACAAAAAGCUUGAGCAAUUUUUUUUCUUAUUUCCUUUUAACAAUUGCUAAAUUUUUUUUUUCUCUUCCACUUUAUUUCUUCUUUAAUUUUUUCACUUUCUCCUCAAAUUUAAUUUUUUUUCUUUAAAGGAGUGGGUAUGCAUAGAAGUCCGAUCCUAACAAAUUCAACAAAUUCAAAGUCAAAAUUUGUAUGCGUGUUGUGCUGACGGAUGGUACCUUGAUAGGCAGUUUUCCAUUCUAGUUCUUUGUCCCUAGAACAUCUCGACGAGGGUGAAUUUCUGUAAGAAAGAGGGGAGAACAAAAGUGAGACGACUUUUAUGUCUCAAACGCAAGUGGAACGUACCAUCCAAGUCGGGUACGACGCGGUUGUUGUUGGAUCUGGCUAUGGAGGAUCGAUUGCUGCAUAUCGACUCGCAGAAGCAGGAAUCCGUGUGUGCGUUCUCGAGAAAGGAAGACGAUGGGAGCCUCACCAGUUUCCAGCAACGCCCUGGAAAUUGCUUUCCAGCACGCGUUUUCUUACUCCAUUCGGAAGCAUUGGGAAGAAGGAUGCUCUCUAUGAGGUGAGUUACUGAAUAGCAUUGUACUUCUCCUGUUAAAACAUAUAUACACACAGUUAGUCCAUGUUUACAGGUGCACAGCCAUGGAGACUCUGUCGCUCUAGUUGGGUCAGGACUGGGAGGAGGCUCGCUAGUGAAUGCUGGAAUCAUCAUGCCCACACCGAAAAGAGCACGAAGGCAUCCAAACUGGCCAAAAGAGUGGGAGGAAGACUGGGAUCUAUACGAAGCAAAAUCUCACAGCAUUCUGGAGCCUGAAGAAAUCCUGCACGAGGCUCCAAAAUCAAAAGUGCUAGACAAAAUUGCAAACGAGAUAGAGGACGCAGCAAGAGAUUCGAUGAAGUUGACAAUAAGUUUCAAUCAGAAGAAGAAUGCUGCUGGAGUUACACAAAACGAAUGCAUUUCAUGCGGUAACUGUCUAUCAGGAUGCAGGUACAACGCAAAGAGCUCAACAGACAAAAAUUACCUUGAACUAGCCGCACAGGUACUUGUCCAGCCAAAACUGAAGGCACAUCUUCUUACGGAAACCGAAUGUGCAGGCCGGAGCCAGAAUUUGCACGCAGACGGAAGUGAUGUUCAUCAGCGAGAACUCCAGCCAUGAAAAGGAAACUUGUUGUCAACCCUGCAAUCAUGGAGCAAAUUGCAAAUCAGUAGCUAAAAGAAGAUGGCGCGUGCACCUGAAUGAAGCGGAUUAUAUUUCAGCAGACUACGUCAUUGUAGCCGGUACUAUCGUGUAAAAGCUGGAAACCUUGGUCGCUGAUAUUUGCUGACCUUUCUUUCUUCAGCUGGUGUUCUUGGCACGAACGAGAUCCUCCUGAGAUCAAGAGAGCGAGGCCUACAACUGUCCCAACAGUUGGGGCACGGAGUUAGCUCCAAUGGAAAUAAUAUCGCUUACAUAACAGGCACAGCUGCACAAACUCAAGCUCGAGGACUAAGAGAAAAUGAGUUCUCAAGGACUCCCAUGCAGCUACGUCCUGGACCAGUCAUAUCAAGGUCACACACAUCAUCACUUGGUUUUACCAUACAGGUAAUAUUACCUUGAAAACACUUAAGUUAAACACUCUUACAGGGAUCCUCUAUUCCUCGAGCAACUCCCGAGACUUUACUGAGGGGAGUGUUUACUUAUGGCCAGCAUGACUACGGAUUCCUUGUUGGUAUAUGGGAACACAUCAAGCAAUGGACAGGAAUGCAAAACAGCCAAGCUCUAGUCCUGAAUAUGAUGGGAUAUGACGCUGCUGACGGGCAAAUCAAGCUAGACAAGGUAACAGGAAGACUGGAAUACAAUGCAGCGAAGGACUUACUUUUUCACCAUAAGCUUCGAACCGCUGAAAGGUUGGCAGCCCGCCUUCGUGGGAAGCUAUACAUGAGUCGCUUCAGAAGUGUUACAGUUCAUCUUUUGGGAGGUUGCAACGCAGCACCAGACUCAUCCACAGGCGUGACAAACGCUAGCGGUCAGCUGUUCUUCCCUGAUACAAGCAACGUUCAGUUCACGAAGACAACAAAAGUUCACGCAGGCCUGUACAUUUGCGAUGCCUCUUUGAUUCCAUGCUCUGUUGGAUUGAAUCCUGUCAGCACGAUCUCUAUAGUUGCAGAGAGAGUUGCGAAUGGAAUUGUCAACGACGCACACAACUAUCUGUUAAAAAAGUUCCAGCACGAAGGCGAUCAUAGUAAUUUCAAAACAAGAACGUACCUCAACUCGCGGCUUGCUUGCGAAAUGAAGAGCAGCCGCGUCAUUAUCCACGAGAAAAUGAGAGGAAAUAUUGGAGGAGCUCCUUGCACACUGCGAUUAGUGAUGCAUAUGGGACAAAACAAGGAUACGGCUGCAAGUAAUUGCGCGUUUGGAGAUUGUCAUCCUCUACUGCGUGGAUAUGUUGGAGGCGAUGCUCUUAUUCCUUCUCUGGAACCAGGUCCUUUAUAUGUGAUUGAUGGAUACGUGGAUAUGUGCCAUGUCGAUGAAAGAACUCCUUUCACUCAGUAUAUGCACUAUCACCUGCUUUUGUCAACAAACACGGGAACCAGGUAAGUUAUCCUAUCUUCUGUCAAUCUGAUCUCAUUGAAAACUAUGGUUUCUGAAGGUAUACUUUGGACGGAAGGAAAGAGAUGCGACCAUUCAUGAGCGGCCUGAUGUGUUACUCUGAUGCAACCACGCUACAUAUCGUUGUUCGAGCUCAGCAGGACUCACCAAAACCGAUUGCCUUGAAAGGAAAAGUGCGGGUAACUCUUCCCGAGUUACUCAAGUCCCUAAUAUUCUUACGAGGGCCAAGGAAGCGGGAGUUCAUAAGACGGCUCCUGGAGACACUUGCUAGGACGUACUUGAUGAGAAUACCUAGGACUCGAAGAGAAAAGGUGACCAGGACACAACACUUGACAGACAACUAUCCAAACUACGUUCUUCAUGAACUCGUGACAGGUAUUAAAAAGAAUUUUUAACAGGCAGUCAUUCUGACGCUGGUCUAGGGGAUGGUGUGCACAUUACCUGCAAGCAAUGGUGCUCACAAGAUUCUGCGGACAACCAAAACUCUAGAGUAGUUUUGUUGCUCAAUGGUUAUUCCACAGAGAGCUUCUGGCUUCCUACAGAAAGUAAUGACAUCAUACGAACGCUGAUACAGAAUGAUUACGAACCUUGGCUGCUGCAAACACGCUUGCAUCCAUUGCAUCCAACAAAAAGUUCUUUUACUUUCGACGAUAUUGCUCGCUUCGACAUUCCAUCUGGUAUGGUCCUGUUUUAAGGAGGAAAAUGGUUAACGUUAAAGCUCUGCAGCGUUUGCGAAGAUAAACCAAGUCAAGAAAAAGCAGGUAGCUGCACACGUUAUUGCUCACUGCAUAGGGGGACUCUCAAUUCACAUGAGCUUGAUGGGUGGAUACAUACCUCCAUCUUCGAUAGCAUCACUAGUUUGCACAAACUCGUCCAUGUUCUUCCACUUGGUUCCAUCAGCGCUCGUGAAGCUGACUCUACCUCUCAUUCCUGUAAGUAUUUUUUGCGUUAGCCAUCUACAAGCCCAUGCUUACAUGUUUUUCUACAGAUUUCUAUGAAAAUCCUGGGAAAGCACACCAUCAUGCCGAUCAGUGCUCCAAAAGAACCAAUGUCGUGGCGGCACAGACUACUGCGCUCAAUCGCUCGAGCUAUACCACGUACUGAGAGCUGCCCAUGCGAUGAAUGCAAUGUUUCCUCAGGAAUUUUCGGCAGCGCAUUCUGGCACCAAAACGUUCGGCUAGAAAUGCACGACUGGCUGAAUAAGCAGGCAAUGCCAGUUCUUCCAAUGGCAGGAUUUCCACAUUUGCGAUUAAUCGCUCUAGCGGGACACAUAGUCGACAGUAAAGGAGACAAGGAGACUUACAUGGCUCAUCCGGAGAGGCUAGCGGUGCAUACGACUUAUAUUUCCGGCGGCCGCCCCAUUCUCGUCACUCCAGAGACCUCUCUCCGCGCGCACGGAUUCGUGAAGCGGCAUCACCCUGGAUUCAGCCACGCUCGAAUCGUGAUUCCAGAUUACGGACAUUCUGACCUGUGGAUCGGAGAGCGUUCGCCAGAGGACGUGUUCCCGCUGGUGCUGGAACGCCUCAAAUCCGCCGAGAGAAGCGACCCGACCGAUAAUCUCCAGAAG
rnacentral:lncRNA from 1 species